GUAGAUUUGGCAUAGUGGUUUGAGUUCUGGACUGCAACUCUGGAGACCAGGGUUCAAUUCCUAGCUUUGCCA